rnacentral:pre_miRNA from 1 species
AGGAGGAACAACCCCAGUGGCGGCGGCCAGCUCUGGUACCCUGGAGUCAGCUCCCGCAGUCACUACAGAGCUCUUGGUCUGCAGGGGCCUGGAUACUCUGGGGCGGG